GCAUGCCCAGUUCGUAAGAACAGGGUAUGACGGAGCGGCGAACGGGUGAGUAACACGUGAGCAACCUGCCCCACAGACCGGGAUAGCCCAAGGAAACUUGGAUUAAUACCGGAUUCCCUCGAACAACCGCAUGGUUGAUCGAGGAAAUGCCUUUGUGCUGUGGGAUGGGCUCGCGGCUUAUCAGCUAGUUGGUGGGGUAAAGGCCUACCAAGGCAUCGACGAGUAGCUGGUCUGAGAGGACGAUCAGCCACACUGGAACUGAGACACGGUCCAGACUCCUACGGGAGGCAGCAGCAGGGAAUCUUGCGCAAUGGGCGAAAGCCUGACGCAGCAACGCCGCGUGGGGGAUGAAGGCCUUCGGGUUGUAAACCCCUUUCAGGAGGGAAGAAAUUGACGGUACCUCCAGAAGAAGGACCGGCCAACUACGUGCCAGCAGCCGCGGUAAUACGUAGGGUCCUAGCGUUAUCCGGAAUCAUUGGGCGUAAAGAGCUCGUAGGCGGUUCAGCAAGUCGGCUGUGAAAGUCCGAGGCUUAACCUCGGAAUUGCAGUCGAUACUGCUGUGACUCGAGUCCGGUAGAGGAGAAUGGAAUUCUCGGUGUAGCGGUGAAAUGCGCAGAUAUCGAGAGGAACACCAGUAGCGAAGGCGGUUCUCUGGGCCGGCACUGACGCUGAGGAGCGAAAGCGUGGGGAGCAAACAGGAUUAGAUACCCUGGUAGUCCACGCCGUAAACGUUGG
rnacentral:rRNA from 1 species